AGCCGCGGUAAUUCCAGCUCCAUUGGCGUAUAUUAAAGUUGUUGCGGUUAAAAAGCUCGUAGUUGGAUCUGUGUAUCAGACGGUCGGUUCGCCGCUCGCGGCGUUUAACUGACCGGUCCGGACGUCCUGCCGGUGGGACCCGGUUCGCGCCGGGGCCCGUAACUCCCUCCGCGCUGCUCUUAACCGAGUGGUUCGGUGGGCCGGCACGUUUACUUUGAACAAAUUUGAGUGCUCAAAGCAGGCCUUAUGUUGCCUGAAAACUGUGUGCAUGGAAUAAUGGAAUAGGGCCUUGGUUCUAUUUUGUUGGCUUUCUGAACUCGAGGUAAUGAUUAAUAGGGACAGACGGGGGCAUUCGUAUUGCGACGUUAGAGGUGAAAUUCUUGGAUCGUCGCAAGACGGACCGAUGCGAAAGCGUUUGCCAAGAAUGUUUUCGCUAAUCAAGAACGAAAGUUAGAGGUUCGAAGGCGAUCAGAUACCGCCCUAGUUCUAACCAUAAACGAUGCCAGCCAGCGAUGCGCCGAAGUUCCUCCGAUGACUCGGCGCGCAGCUUCCGGGAAACCAAAGCUUUUGGGUUCCGGGGGAA
rnacentral:rRNA from 1 species